AUUGAACGCUGGCGGCAUGCCUUACACAUGCAAGUCGAACGGUAACAGGUCUUCGGAUGCUGACGAGUGGCGAACGGGUGAGUAAUACAUCGGAACGUGCCUAGUAGUGGGGGAUAACUACUCGAAAGAGUGGCUAAUACCGCAUGAGAUCUACGGAUGAAAGCAGGGGAUCGCAAGACCUUGUGCUUCUAGAGCGGCCGAUGGCAGAUUAGGUAGUUGGUGGGAUAAAAGCUUACCAAGCCGACGAUCUGUAGCUGGUCUGAGAGGACGAUCAGCCACACUGGGACUGAGACACGGCCCAGACUCCUACGGGAGGCAGCAGUGGGGAAUUUUGGACAAUGGGCGAAAGCCUGAUCCAGCAAUGCCGCGUGCAGGAUGAAGGCCUUCGGGUUGUAAACUGCUUUUGUACGGAACGAAAAGCCCUGGGUUAAUACCCUGGGGUCAUGACGGUACCGUAAGAAUAAGCACCGGCUAACUACGUGCCAGCCGACGCCGUAA
rnacentral:rRNA from 1 species